rnacentral:rRNA from 1 species
AAGCUUACCCUUUGAAGGACUAACAGUAAGCACAAUUCGGUACAACCCAAUACGUCAGGUCGAGGUGUAGCCUAUGAGAAGGGAAGAGAUGGGCUACAUUCACAAACAUAGUGAAUACGAAUAGUAUAUUGAAACAUAUACUUGAAGGAGGAUUUAGCAGUAAGCAGGAAAUAGAGUGUUCUGCUGAAGCCGGCUCUUAAGCGCGUACAUACCGCCCGUCACCCUCGCCAAGCCCUACCAAUUAUUUUUUCUAAAUCACUUAUAAAGCUAAGGAGAGGAAAGUCGUAACAUGGUAAGCGUACCGGAAGGUGUGCUUGGAUAAUC